CCUACGGGGUGCUGCAGUGGGGAAUAUUGGGCAAUGGGCGCAAGCCUGACCCAGCAACGCCGCGUGAAGGAAGAAGGCUUUCGGGUUGUAAACUUCUUUUAACAGGGAAGAGAAGAAGCCGGUACCUCUUGUCCAAGCCACGGCUGACUACGUGCCACCACCCGCGGUGAUACGUAGGUGGCAAGCGUUCUCCGGGUUUACUGGGUGUCAAGGGCGUGCAGCCGGGCUGACAACGCAGCUGUGAAAUCCCGCGGCUCAACCGCGGAACUGCAUUUGAAACUGUCAGUCUUGAGUGCCGGAGAGGUCAGCGGAAUGCCUUGUGUAGCGGUGAAAUGCGUAGAUAUAAGGAAGAACACCAGUGGCGAAGGCGGAUGACUGGACGGCAACUGACGGUGAGGCGCGAAAGCGUGGGGAGCGAACAGGAUUAGAUACCCCAGUAGUC
rnacentral:rRNA from 1 species